rnacentral:rRNA from 1 species
GAUGAACGCUGGCGGCGUGCCUAAUACAUGCAAGUCGAGCGAACAGACGAGGAGCUUGCUCCUCUGACGUUAGCGGCGGACGGGUGAGUAACACGUGUAUAACCUACCUAUAAGACUGGGAUAACUUCGGGAAACCGGCGCUAAUACCGGAUAAUAUAUUGAACCGCAUGGUUCAAUAGUGAAAGACGGUUUUGCUGUCACUUAUCGAUGGAUCCGCGCCGCAUUAGCUAGUUGGUAAGGUAACGGCUUACCAAGGCGACGAUGCGUAGCCGACCUGAGAGGGUGAUCGGCCACAUUGGAGCUGAGACACGGUCCAGACUCCUACGGGAGGCAGCAGUAGGGAAUCUUCCGCAAUGGGCGAAAGCCUGACGGAGCAACGCCGCGUGAGUGAUGAAGGUCUUCGGAGCGUAAAACUCUGUUAUUAGGGAAGAACAAAUGUGUAAGUAACUAUGCACGUCUUGACGGUACCUAAUCAGAAAGCCACGGCUAACUACGUG